rnacentral:sRNA from 1 species
AUUCUGCCCAAGCGGGGAAGGAUGAGAAGCUUCGACCAAGGUUUGACUUGAGCGCCAGCGAGAGAGCGUUGC